UAGAAAUUAAAUGGGCAUGACCCAAUAGAAAAUAAGUGGGCAUGGCCCAAUAGGAAAUAAAAAUAAAUGGGCUUAGCCCAAAUAGGAAAAAUGGAGAAGCCCAUGGAGAAGGCCCAAAGGUCAUAAAGAAAUGAAAAAGGCCCAAUGGUAAGUUAAUGUUAUAUUUUAAGGUUUAUGGGUAGUUUAAUAUUGUGCAUAUUUUGGAUGAAAAAUAUGCAAGUUGCUUAAGGAAUUUUUAAUUAAGUUGUUACUCAUACAAAUGUGUGAUUAAGUAUACUAAGUUUAAAUUGUUGCUAGGAAAGUUUGUCGUGGAAGCGUGCCGAACGAAGUAUGUGACCGACAAAUAGGAAUAAUUAUAUACGCGUACGAAUCAAUAGUGAAGUAAUAUUCCACUAUUAUGAGGUGAGUAGGGGGUG
rnacentral:lncRNA from 1 species